rnacentral:rRNA from 1 species
CAGUCGAGCGGUAGCACAGAGAGCUUGCUCUCGGGUGACGAGCGGCGGACGGGUGAGUAAUGUCUGGGAAACUGCCUGAUGGAGGGGGAUAACUACUGGAAACGGUAGCUAAUACCGCAUAACGUCGCAAGACCAAAGUGGGGGACCUUCGGGCCUCAUGCCAUCAGAUGUGCCCAGAUGGGAUUAGCUAGUAGGUGGGGUAACGGCUCACCUAGGCGACGAUCCCUAGCUGGUCUGAGAGGAUGACCAGCCACACUGGAACUGAGACACGGUCCAGACUCCUACGGGAGGCAGCAGUGGGGAAUAUUGCACAAUGGGCGCAAGCCUGAUGCAGCCAUGCCGCGUGUGUGAAGAAGGCCUUCGGGUUGUAAAGCACUUUCAGCGGGGAGGAAGGCGGUGAGGUUAAUAACCUUGGCGAUUGACGUUACCCGCAGAAGAAGCACCGGCUAACUCCGUGCCAGCAGCCGCGGUAAUACGGAGGGUGCAAGCGUUAAUCGGAAUUACUGGGCGUAAAGCGCACGCAGGCGGUCUGUCAAGUCGGAUGUGAAAUCCCCGGGCUCAACCUGGGAACUGCAUUCGAAACUGGCAGGCUAGAGUCUUGUAGAGGGGGGUAGAAUUCCAGGUGUAGCGGUGAAAUGCGUAGAGAUCUGGAGGAAUACCGGUGGCGAAGGCGGCCCCCUGGACAAAGACUGACGCUCAGGUGCGAAAGCGUGGGGAGCAAACAGGAUUAGAUACCCUGGUAGUCCACGCCGUAAACGAUGUCGAUUUGGAGGUUGUGCCCUUGAGGCGUGGCUUCCGGAGCUAACGCGUUAAAUCGACCGCCUGGGGAGUACGGCCGCAAGGUUAAAACUCAAAUGAAUUGACGGGGGCCCGCACAAGCGGUGGAGCAUGUGGUUUAAUUCGAUGCAACGCGAAGAACCUUACCUGGUCUUGACAUCCACAGAACUUUCCAGAGAUGGAUUGGUGCCUUCGGGAACUGUGAGACAGGUGCUGCAUGGCUGUCGUCAGCUCGUGUUGUGAAAUGUUGGGUUAAGUCCCGCAACGAGCGCAACCCUUAUCCUUUGUUGCCAGCGGUCAGGCCGGGAACUCAAAGGAGACUGCCAGUGAUAAACUGGAGGAAGGUGGGGAUGACGUCAAGUCAUCAUGGCCCUUACGACCAGGGCUACACACGUGCUACAAUGGCAUAUACAAAGAGAAGCGACCUCGCGAGAGCAAGCGGACCUCAUAAAGUAUGUCGUAGUCCGGAUUGGAGUCUGCAACUCGACUCCAUGAAGUCGGAAUCGCUAGUAAUCGUAGAUCAGAAUGCUACGGUGAAUACGUUCCCGGGCCUUGUACACACCGCCCGUCACACCAUGGGAGUGGGUUGCAAAAGAAGUAGGUAGCUUAACCUCGGAGGCGCU